rnacentral:rRNA from 1 species
ACACAUGCAAGCCGAGGGGCAGCAUGGUCUUAGCUUGCUAGGGCCGAUGGCGACCGGCGCACGGGUGAGUAACACGUAUCCAACCUGCCGUCUACUCUUGGACAGCCUUCUGAAAGGAAGAUUAAUACAAGAUGGCAUCAUGAGUCCGCAUGUUCACAUGAUUAAAGGUAUUCCGGUAGACGAUGGGGAUGCGUUCCAUUAGAUAGUAGGCGGGGUAACAGCCCACCUAGUCUUCGAUGGAUAGGGGUUCUGAGAGGAAGGUCCCCCACAUUGGAACUGAGACACGGUCCAAACUCCUACGGGAGGCAGCAGUGAGGAAUAUUGGUCAAUGGGCGAGAGCCUGAACCAGCCAAGUAGCGUGAAGGAUGACUGCCCUAUGGGUUGUAAACUUCUUUUAUAAAGGAAUAAAGUCGGGUAUGGAUACCCGUUUGCAUGUACUUUAUGAAUAAGGAUCGGCUAACUCCGUGCCAGCAGCCGCGGUAAUACGGAGGAUCCGAGCGUUAUCCGGAUUUAUUGGGUUUAAAGGGAGCGUAGAUGGAUGUUUAAGUCAGUUGUGAAAGUUUGCGGCUCAACCGUAAAAUUGCAGUUGAUACUGGAUAUCUUGAGUGCAGUUGAGGCAGGCGGAAUUCGUGGUGUAGCGGUGAAAUGCUUAGAUAUCACGAAGAACUCCGAUUGCGAAGGCAGCCUGCU